rnacentral:rRNA from 1 species
CCCUUAGAUGUUCUGGGCUGCACGCGCGCUACACUGAAGCUAUCAACACGUUUUCCCUCCCUGAGAAGGGCGGGUAACCUUUUGAAUCAGCUUCGUGGUAGGGAUCGGGGCUUGCAAUUGUUCCCCGUGAACCAGGAAUUCCUAGUAGACGCGAGUCAUAAGCUCACAUCGAUUAAGUCCCUGCCCUUUGUACACACCGCCCGUCGCUACUACCGAUUGAACGUUUUAGUGAGGCAUUUGGACCGACGCAUCUCAGUUUAACCGCUGGUUUGUGUUGGAAAGACUUCCAAACUUGAGCGUUUAGAGGAAGUAAAAGUCGUAACA